rnacentral:rRNA from 1 species
GACGAACGCUGGCGGCGUGCUUAACACAUGCAAGUCGAACGGAAAGGCCCUGCUUUUGUGGGGUGCUCGAGUGGCGAACGGGUGAGUAACACGUGAGUAACCUGCCCUUGACUUUGGGAUAACUUCAGGAAACUGGGGCUAAUACCGGAUAGGAGCUCCUGAUGCAUGGUGGGGGUUGGAAAGUUUCGGCGGUUGGGGAUGGACUCGCGGCUUAUCAGCUUGUUGGUGGGGUAGUGGCUUACCAAGGCUUUGACGGGUAGCCGGCCUGAGAGGGUGACCGGCCACAUUGGGACUGAGAUACGGCCCAGACUCCUACGGGAGGCAGCAGUGGGAAUAUUGCACAAUGGGCGGAAGCCUGAUGCAGCAACGCCGCGUGCGGGAUGACGGCCUUCGGGUUGUAAACCGCUUUCGCCUGUGACGAAGCGUGAGUGACGGUAAUGGGUAAAGAAGCACCGGCUAACUACGUG